UACAGCCUCUCUAGCCAGCUACAAUUCAAAGGCAGAAGGAGUGGAACCUUUUCAGCAGAUGGGAUGGUUAUCAGCACAACAGCAGCAUCAUGAGCUCAUCUCUUUAUUUUCAGCAGAAUCCAGGAGGCACCACUGAUCGCGAGAACCUUCCCUAGUCUACCACAUGUGCCUGAGCGCCAUCACUGUACGUGAACACUCA
rnacentral:lncRNA from 1 species